rnacentral:rRNA from 1 species
AUUGAACGCUGGCGGCAGGCCUAACACAUGCAAGUCGAACGAGUGGCGGACGGGUGAGUAAUGUAUGGGAAACUGCCUGAUGGAGGGGGAUAACUACUGGAAACGGUAGCUAAUACCGCAUACCAUCGGAUGUGCCCAGAUGGGAUUAGCUAGUAGGUGGGGUAAAGGCUCACCUAGGCGACGAUCCCUAGCUGGUCUGAGAGGAUGACCAGCCACACUGGAACUGCGACACGGGCCAGACUCCUACGGGAGGCAGCAGUGGGGAAUAUUGCACAAUGGGCGCAAGCCUGAUGCAGCCAUGCCGCGUGUAUGAAGAAGGCCUUCGGGUUGUAAAGUACUUUCAGCGGGGAGGCGGUAGCCGCAGAAGAAGCACCGACUAACUCCGUGCCAGCAGCCGCGGUAAUUG